CACUGCUGCCCAUCUGCAAACCUGGCGGUGCAGCUGGAAAAGAGCUGCUGGGAGCGGUUUGAGAGGAUGUCUGGGAGGUAUUUAUAAAACCUUUAUUAUGUAGAAACUGCUGCUGAAAAAGCUAUGAAAACAUACUUCCAAGAACAGGAGGGCAAAAAUCAGAGUGCAAAAAAAAACCCAAGUGCACAGCACACAGGCCGGUAGGGAAGGCUGACUGAGGUAGGAGGACUGAGAGAUCAAGUACAGACUGGACUCAAGGGUGUUUCAAGGCAUGGGAAGACCCGGCUUCAAAAUGCAUGACAGAGCACAGAGCAGCGCUCCUCCAAUUGGGGGCUC